rnacentral:rRNA from 1 species
UGGGGAAUAUUGGACAAUGGGCGCAAGCCUGAUCCAGCCAUGCCGCGUGAGUGAUGACGGCCUUAGGGUUGUAAAGCUCUUUUCUCCGGGACGAUAAUGACGGUACCGGAGGAAUAAGCCCCGGCUAACUUCGUGCCAGCAGCCGCGGUAAUACGAAGGGGGCUAGCGUUGCUCGGAAUCACUGGGCGUAAAGGGCGCGUAGGCGGCGUUUUAAGUCGGGGGUGAAAGCCUGUGGCUCAACCACAGAAUGGCCUUCGAUACUGGGACGCUUGAGUCUGGUAGAGGUUGGUGGAACUGCGAGUGUAGAGGUGAAAUUCGUAGAUAUUCGCAAGAACACCGGUGGCGAAGGCGGCCAACUGGACCAGUACUGACGCUGAGGCGCGAAAGCGGGGGGAGCAAACAGG